rnacentral:lncRNA from 1 species
CUCUUUGUUGCAUUGCAUUUGGACUAUGCUCUAGCUAUCAUCUGUGUCCUUACUAAAGCAUUUCCUGCUUUGUAAGUGUCAGUGUAUUCUUGUGUAUUAGUAUCCGUGACUCUGCAAUGCAGUGUGAGCAGUGGGGUGAUGAUCAAAACCCAUGGAUUGUGUCAUUUUGGGUGAAGAACAGUACACCUGUGACCCGGCUGUGCUCAGGCAGCCAUGGGUAUGGAGUAAUGAUAACAAAAAGAUAGCCUCCAGAUACUCAUCACAUGCCAACAGGAUUACGUCUGGAAAGUGUCUCCCUCUCUGCUUCUCCCUCUCUGCAAGACCUCCUGGCUCAUACAGUUCCGAUGCAGUGGAGCAUGGCGUCGUGAGAUGCUUAUUCUCGAAUUUAAAUGGAGUGAAACGAUAGCGAUCCUCUGCGAAAAUAAGAAUACCGUCCCAGUCAGGCUUGGACCACCUGCGAUGUCACCAGAAGGAGCAUAAACAUUCAACACAGCUUCUUAUUUCAUCAAGCUGAACCUGCUGAUGAAGACUUCUUCCUACAGCUAUGGGAGGCAUUGCAAUUGCAGGCUCUUCUCCUGCUGGGAGACUUCAACCACCCUAACAUCUCCUGGAAAAGUAGCACAGCAAGCUGUAGGCAAUCCAGAACUCUCCAGGAAUCUAUCAAGGAUAACCUCUUGAACCAAGUAAAAGACAGGGAAUUGGAUAGGAUGACCUUUAAAGAUCUGUUCCAACUCAAACAAUUAUAUGGUUCUAUGAUUAUAUGUUUAACACCUCAAUUCUUUUACAACUAUUUUGCACCUUAUCGAUUGCAGAUUAACAGUAGGAGUUCUCCUUUUAUUGAUAUAUUUUCCUGUCUCAACUUUAUGAACCAGUAUGAAAUUCUCCCAUUUACAUCUCUUGUGUGGUGUCCUUUGCACUUGUUUUACUAUAACAGAUUGCAUUUCUCUAACUUCCAGAUCAAGUUAACUGAAGCUACGUGUAUAUUUCUGUGUAUUAAAUCCUAAUUCCCUUUUUGUAUUACAUUUACUACAUUUUCUAUAUCUUUAUCAAAUUAGCAAUCUGAUUGAAGAUUCUGUCAUCAGCUUAAUUUUCUAAAGUGCUGUUAAACAUGACACAUUUGUUUUGUCUCUAUACUUGAGUUUCAGUUCACAGAAAACUUUAACUCUCUAUUUGUUCUCUAUUAUAUUCACAUUACAUCUUUAAGAAGAAAUUAUGAAAAAUAACAGUGAAUACUGUUGAUUAUAAAGAAGUUGUUCCUAAUGACUCUCUACAAGGACAUAUUUACAGAUUACUCAAGCUGUAGACACCUCAAGUGGGCUGUAAUGUAAGAAUCACAUCAUCUGACAUUUGACGCUACUAUGGUACCUAUAAUAUCAACUUCAUCAUACACGGAAGUGUGUAUAGUAAGUCUUCUAGCAAAACUUCCUGGUUUAUAAUCAGUAAAAAGAAUGAACUGCCUCUGAAGAAGGUUCAGCACACCUGAGUUAGUCCUGACUCUGAGUCAUCUAUUAAAUUAUAUUUCUAAAAUUAGUUAGGGUAAAUACUAAGAGCAAGAUUUCCAGAAGAUGACUGUAUUUGCAAACAUUUACAGAAUAUUUAAGGCUCUCAGAGAGGUCUGAAGGCUAUGAGAACAUAAUCUGAAAAGAGAACAAGAUAGAUUAUUCUAAAGAAGACAGUCUCAUUAUAUUCUGCUAGUAGUGGAUGAGGGAAAAAAAAAAACAAAAAACAGUCUUCAUACCUGCCAUCUCUAAUACUUUCAAGUGAGAAUAACAAACUAAAUAUUUGAUACUUCCAAGAUUCAUUAGUGAAGGAGAUCUUAAUUAAAAUCUGUACAAAAUAUUUCAACAGAAAAAUGUCAACAUUUUCAUUUGUCUCUCUUGAAUUGAUUGUGCUCACAUACAGGAAAUGUCAGAAUUUCUCAAUAUAAAUGUAUAAAUAUUGACAACUUUCAGGGUUCUUUUGCACUGUACACCUAAAAAAGGUGAAUGUCAGUGACUUCAUGAGUCUUGAGCAAGACUAGAGGGACUUUCUCAUCUCUGAUGUGUAACUUCGCAAAGCUGUAAUUUUUACAAAAUUUGUCAGAUGGAUAAUAUUUUUUCAUAAACUGAAGUAUGUUAAAGAAUGACAGGCCUUUCAUAUUUUAUGAUACCUUAAUGAUAACUGCACUGAGCGCUGAAUAAGGAUAGCAUUAAUAAAUACUUAUCCAUCACUAUUAUUAGGAAACACUUUUGCAAAAUAAAUAUGUAUGUCUAAUUAGCACUUUGAAAAUUGAUGAAUGUAUGUAAUGUUGAAACAGAAUGAUUAUUUCUUUCCAUAAGAUUAUGAAUAUUUACUUACACGUAGAAAGAAGAAACUACUUAUAGAUCAAAGAUGAGCUAGCAACUCUCACAGAAAAACUGUCAGAUUUACAAUUUUUUUGGCAUUUAAUAUAUAUUUUUUUUUCCUGAAGACAUUCUUUUAAGUCAGAAUUUUGUAAAAAAUUUUCUGACCUUGUGACUGAAGAGCAGAGCCUGAACAUCACAAGCUUUGGAUAUACCUUACAGAUUCAAAAUUGAAGUGAAGGCAAAGUAUCUUUCAUUUAUUUGGUCUUUAUCAUUCUAAAGUUAUCCUUUCUGGCUGGCAUUAACACAGCAUAUUCAUGUCCCCUAAGGCAAAACUACCAACAAUGACAAUUUGUCUGGCUGCAUGGCUUCAAUUUUGAAUCUGUAUAUCUACAGUCAGAAUUUGAAGUAGACUAAGAGCCUGCUUCAGAAUUUAGGGGGAAUAAGGCUCAUGGGUGAACACUGCAGGCCAUUUAGAGUACCAGGUCCAGAAAGUAGGUUCAGAUGUUCUGGAUAUGAACAGAUGAGUAGAUGGGGUAGCAAGAACAAGAGCCUUGCAUUUUGCCUUUGCUACCCAGCAGACCUGGAUGUGCUGAGCAGGUUCUGAUAAUGUGUUGGUGGGAUCUCAUAGUCUAAUAAUCUUUAAAAAGAAUAAUCUCUUUAAAGAAAUUUUUUCUUCUAUGCAUGAAACUGUAGCUUUCUGGAUAUGGUGCAGGCAGCCACAGUGGGAGAAGAGGCUGAUAUAUAUUCAUUUUAUUAUUCAAAUUCACACAGUUUGUGCUUUGUUUUUAAGAUAUGUCAUGUUUUAUCUCAUGUCUUUAAGACACAUUUGUUAGUGAGAUAUUAUGUAAAAGAAAAAUUUGAAAUUCAGUCAAAGUGAAAGGUGCUUUGGAAAGCUAUGCUGACACGCAUAGCAGGCAUGUUUAGAAAUGAUUCUAAUUUGAAUAGAUUGUCUAGAUAUUGCAUCAAUAAAAGUAACACUAAGGAGACAGAAUGAUGAUACUUUGUCAAGCUUCAGGAAAAAAAAAUGCAAUCAAACUGUUUCCCAAGACUAUCAAUUGUACACAAAGAUAUUAAUUGACCAUAAAACAGUUUUUUUAUUUCCUAAACUCUUGUCUUAACAUUUCCUAAAUUAACUGUACUGAGGAGCUACAAAGUUUGUAGCUCAUUUAUUUUGGGAAAAACAUUUUGUAAAAUGCUACUGAAGUCUGCAUUCUUUAUCACACUCUUAUAAAUGGCCACAUUCAGUGUGACUUCAAAACUGGGGGAGUAUUAUUCCUUGUUCAUGGUCUUUAUUACUCUCUCUCUCUUACAAUCUCUUUCAUUAUAUAUAUGCUCACAUAGAUACUUACACAGGUAUAUAUAUAUGUACAUAAAUAUGUAUGUGUAUGUAUUCAUUUGUGCAAAUAUGUAUAUACCUUCUUCACAUACGUAUCAAAUAUAGGGGAAAUAUUUAAGAAAAAGUCCAGAUAAGAGUAGCAAAUAUAGAGCAAAUACAUCAAAUAAUGAAAGAAGUCAUCUACUAGAUGACAGUGAGUUAGACUACCAACUCAUAGGCGAUGUAUUGUAUGUGAAUCCUUUCAUCUAAUAUUUGUAAGCUCACAGCAGGCUCAUUCUCUAGUCCAUUGCAGAAUGUUUUUAUUUAUUCACAAAGACUCAAAAAAAAAAAAAAAAAAGUAAAAAAAAAGUGUUGUUAGUAUCAAAGGAAAAUAUUGUUAGAUAUGAUUUGUUAUACAGUUCCUCUCACAUGCCAAGCAUUAAGAUCUUUUAAAAGGGUUUGUUACCACACAGAAGAUAUAAGGAACACUUCUUCCUCUAAGAAAAUCAGACUUGAAAAUUUAAGAUUUUACGGUCCAUUAACCUGCUAUUAAAGACAAACGACAGGAUUUCUUUCUGAAAUGAACUUUUCAUUGUACAAGAACUAAAGCUACAGUAACAGAAGAGAGAAAAGAGGAGGAGAAAAAAAAGGCCCAAGCAAUAAAAUGAGGCCCACAAUGUGAUUCUUAUCAAAGUCCAUGCCAUUAAAGAAAUGAAAUUGCAGCAAUACAAAGUUGUAGAUACUGAUUAUGUGUAAUGGUGCAGAACCAGGUUGCAUCAGCAUUGAAUUUCAGGCAGUUCACAUUCCAUUUUACCUGCAUUUCUGGAAAGUUGAGCCAGAGUCAACUCCCAGUAAGGAUGCAGUUGAUCACAGUGUUACAUAAAGUCAAACUGACAGAUAAGAGAAAGCAAAAGGUUCUAGGUCAUGUCUCUGCUGGGUUUUAAUUCAUUCUCAUUAGGAACAAUAAUGGACCGAAGUGCUUGUUAGAUUCUAAAACUGAGAAGCAUAUUUAUGGAAUAUGGUCACAUUGUUUGCUUAGGUAGAAGAAAGUCAAGUAAAAUACUUUUUUAUUAAUUUCAUUAAGAAAUAUCUGUCCAAAAAGAGUUCUUCUAGCGUUAAGUAACAUAUUAUCUAGGGAAGGUGAACAUGGCAUGAUAAGCAUAUAAUCAGGUGUGCUGUCUCUUUUAAUUGGGUUCAUUUCAGAAUGAGCAACAAGCAUUAGGAUGCUUUAAUUCUAUUCAUUUUAGUGAGAGCAAUAAACAUUAGGAGGUCCUUUAGUACCUUUCUCUGAAGAGGCCCACUUGACUAAAUUUGGUAUAAUUUAAACAGGAGUAACUGGAUACAAGAUUUAUUUAACCCUUUGCCUGACAAACUGUUCAUUUUAAAGUUAUCUCCGUAAAAGAAAACACUAAGUGCAUUAACGAAAAUUAGUAUUAGUUGUCAUUCUAGAUGUGAUACCGUAGCACCAAACAUAGCACAGAAGCAAUACCUCCUUUAGGGUUUAAGUUAGCAGUUGCACAGAUCUUAAAAUAUUCUGCAUAUCUAUAGGUCAGAGACAAAAUCACAAGUAGGUGAAAAUUAGUGUCUCCAUAUGUGUUGUACAAUAAGUCAUGACAAAACAGAUUACACAGAGUUUGAUGUUGACACGAUCUAUUUUGAAUAUAUGAAACUAUUCUUCCCAUUUCAUCCUCAGGCAUUUGUGGUGGCUUGACCUUAGCCAGCAGUGAAACACCUGCACGCCCCCUCAUUCAUUAUCCACCCCAGUGGAACAGGAGAAAAUGAGAAGAGUGAAAGGGAGAAAAACUGUGGAAAGAGAUAGAGACAAUUUAAUACGUGAAGGAAAUAGAUUUAAAAAAAAAAGCACAUGGUACCAAGGCAAUCUCUCACUACCCCUCAAAUAGCAUACAAAUGCCCAGAAAAGCUCAGAACAAAUGCUACCUUGGAAAACACCCCACCACCCCCAACUCAGUUUUUAUUGCUGAGCAUGGUGCUACACUAUACAGAAUAGACUUUUGGCCUUUGACCUACAUUUACCCAGUGUAACAUCAUGUUAUGCUGAAUUAUGUUAUUUUAAAGUGUUCUACUGUUGACAGAGAUUUAUUAUGGACACAGUUUAGCUCCUGUUGAAGUUAAUUUUUAAUUUUCAGGGAUUACAGCUGUACCGUGACCUAGUGUGCUACAAUUUAAGAAUAUCUUACUAUUUCUAUUGUCAAAAAUGCCAAACAGCUGUUCUAUCUUUCCAUGUAAUGGAUAUGGUAUUUCAUGUUUAACAUAAUGUACUCAAUAGGUGCCUGGUAGAGUUAAUCUUCUUAAAGUUAAUGAGAAUCUUCUCAUCAGUUUCCCUGGGAUCCGAUUUUAAUCCUGCAUCCUUUUAUUCCUUAUUUUCAGUUCAGAGUGCAGUAAUAUAACUUGGUCAAACAGCCUCUAUCUAUUUUUCUAUCAAUUAAUUCAAUCCAUCUGGCCUUUAUUAACAUAAUACCUCAGCACAUCACAAUAUUACAUGAAUGUUAUUUUUAAAAUGUGGCUGGAGUUCAACUAAGAACAAUAUCCUGCUUCUACUUUUAUACUUUUUUCUCCUAGGUCAGGAAUUUUCAACCCAUUUUACAGGGAUUUGGAAAUGUCUGUAUCCCUGAAAGUGUGUUGGUCUUUUUUUUUUUCUUUCUUUCAUUUAUGUUUGAGCCAUUUUUGUUAAAUAUGCAUAUACUACUUGACUAUAUUCCUCCAAGAAUAAAUCUGUGUUCUCUCUCAUGCUGUGACUGCUGACUCUUAGCUUCUUAUUUCUAGGAAAGCAUGUGAAAUCAUGUUGGUACACAUUAGUAUAUAUAACAUCUCUAAACAAACAUUUUAACUCAAGUGGACUGUGUA